rnacentral:rRNA from 1 species
UACGUAGGGGCCUAGCGUUGUCCGGAUUUAUUGGGCGUAAAGAGCGUGUAGGCGGCCAAGUAGGUCCGGUGUGAAAACUCGAGGCUUAACCUCGAGAUGUCAUCGGAAACCAUUUGGCUAGAGUCCGGAAGAGGAAAGUGGAAUUCCUGGUGUAGCGGUGAAAUGCGUAGAUAUCUGGAGGAACACCGGUGGCGAAGGCGGCAUCCUGGACCAAUUCUGACGCUGAGGAGCGAAAGCCAGGGGAGCAAACGGG